CAGUGGGGAAUAUUGGACAAUGGGCGCAAGCCUGAUCCAGCCAUGCCGCGUGAGUGAUGAAGGCCUUAGGGUUGUAAAGCUCUUUCACCGAUGAAGAUAAUGACGGUAGUCGGAGAAGAAGCCCCGGCUAACUUCGUGCCAGCAGCCGCGGUAAUACGAAGGGGGCUAGCGUUGUUCGGAAUUACUGGGCGUAAAGCGCACGUAGGCGGAUAUUUAAGUCAGGGGUGAAAUCCCGCAGCCCAACUGCGGAACUGACUUUGAUACUGGGUAUCUUGAGUAUGGAAGAGGUAAGUGGAAUUCCGAGUGUAGAGGUGAAAUUCGUAGAUAUUCGGAGGAGCACCAGUGGCGAAGGCGGCUUACUGGUCCAUUACUGACGCUGAGGUGCGAAAGCGUGGGGAGCAAACAGGAUUAGA
rnacentral:rRNA from 1 species